GGAGGAGGGUGAAGUUUUGUGAUAGGAAAAUCAAACAAAGGAAUACAGUAAAAAAUCUCACCACUCAUUGCCAGGUGGUGUUUAAGCAAAAUGAGACCCCUCGUCUUCCCAGCUCCGUUCUCUGCAGGGCUGCGUUCUGCAUGCAUCAUGAUGGGAGACGAAAGCUCAAAGAAUGAUGGUUGUUAUUAUUUUCUUUUAACUGAAAGUAGAGGUCUUUUACACAUGGAGAGAUCUGAACCUGGUUUGUUUCUUGCCUUGGGGAGGAAAAAGAACCAAAACCAACGAAAUGGGGAAUGGUUUAAACUGAGACAAGGGAGGUUUAGGUUGGAGAUGAGGAGGAAGUUUUUCCCCCAGAGGGUGGUGACGCACUGAACAGGUUGCCCAAGGAGGCUGUGGAUGCCCCAUCCCUGCAGGCAUUCAAGGCCAGGCUGGAUGUGGCUCUGGGCAGCCUGGGCUGCUGGUUGGCGACCCUGCACAUAGCAGGGGGUUGGAACGGGAUGAGCACUGUGGUCCUUUUCAACCCAGGCCGUUCUAGGAUUCUGUGAUUCUCUCUAAAUUCUGUUUGACUGUGCAAGGGCUGUUGGUGAGGUACGAUCUACGGAGCUUUCUGAUGGUGGAAGCUAGCUAAAUUUCAGUUUCUCCCUGAGUCACUUCUAGGAGACUCCCCCUAUCCUUGCAGCCCGUGGCAGCCCAGAGGUGGGUGUCCAGGGGGAUCAGGCUGCUUCUGUGAUGGGUGCAGUGCAGGCAUGGGGGUGGGUGACCUGUCACACUCCUUCUCCCAUAUAUGUCAUCUGCAAAAGGAACAGACCUGGGUACAUGUGCCAACCCACCAUCUGUCAUGCUUCUUCCCCCUUGGCUCUUUUUAAUUCCAG
rnacentral:lncRNA from 1 species